GGGGAUACAGCUCAGUGGCAAAGCACUUGCCUGGCAAGCGUGAGGUUGUGAGUUUGAUUCCCAGUUACCCCC
rnacentral:tRNA from 1 species